UGCAAAGAACUUUGAAGAGAGAGUUCAAGAGGGCGUGAAACCGCUGAGAUUGAAACGGAUAGAGUUGACGGAACUCGGCUGCAUUCAUUCGGUCGGUCUAGCGGCCCGAUGGGACUGGCUUCCUCGAUGAGGGCAGUGCUGUCGGUAGCUGUUGGGCGCUUGAUCGGUGUAUUUGCGGCCGGUAUGCGCUGAGAGCUUUGUGGUCGCAUGUUGAGGGGUGCGUAGUGGACCACUCCUUCCGGGCGUGGAAACCUGCGUGCUUUGAGGCAAGUUGGCCAUGAGGUUUGAGUGUGAGCGUCUCCGCUGUGUGGUGCAUCGGCUUUAUUGGGCUGUUGUGACUAUGGAAAGUCGCGUGCGACCUUGUGUAGUUGGCAGUGGCGUGGUAGGGCGCGGAUGCGUCGAGACGUAUAUCUCGGUGUGAACGUUGACCACCUAUCCGACCCGUCUUGAAACACGGACCAAGGAGUCCAGCAUAUGCGCGAGUCGUUGGGUGAUAAACCUAAAGGCGUAAUGAAAGUGAAAUUCGUCUCGAUACGAACGAUAUGGGAUCCGUGAUGCUUACGGGCAACGCGGCGCACCAUAGCCCCGUCCCCGUUGCAUGCAAUAGGGCGGAGGUAGAGCGCAUACGCUGGGACCCGAAAGAUGGUGAACUAUGCCUGAGCAGGAUGAAGCCAGAGGAAACUCUGGUGGAAGUCCGAAGCGGUUCUGACGUGCAAAUCGAUCGUCUGACUGGGUAUAGGGCGAA
rnacentral:rRNA from 1 species